rnacentral:misc_RNA from 1 species
UUAUAAAAAAUAAAAAAAUAAAAAUCAGAUGCUUAGAUUUGUGUGGCUUGUAAUCAUCCACUCUUCAUCUUUGUGCUUUUCCUGAAUUCACUCUUCAUCCGCUUCUUCACAUUUUUUGAACUAAAUGUUUUAGUUAGCUACCCAUGCCUGCUAACGUUUCCUAUCCUUGAACGCCAUAUUUUCUAGAUCAAAAGAAAAUGAUGCAUUACAACAUUUUUCCUUCACCCAAACAUGCAUGCAUGCUUGGGCUUCUUGCACUAGAGUGCCUAUUCCAUCUUUUAUCCGAGUGAUAGUCAUAAUCAACUUACCAGUGGAGCAAAUAAAUUUUGUGAAUUGGAUGUCCAACUGACCCUACAUCUAUAAAUUUCAGAGUUAAAUUCCAUCUGGAUAUUCAGUUCCUUAUCGUCGAUGGAU